GGACCUGUAGCUCAGUUGGAUAGAGCACUCGCCUCCUAAGCGAGGGGUCGUGGGUUCGAAACUGGAAACCAAAUCGAAUUAAGCCGUCCACCUAAGUUUGGUUUCCAGCCAUCCAGCAACCGCUGGCUUCGAAAUUCCCACCAGGUCCG
rnacentral:tRNA from 1 species